AUUGAACGCUGGCGGCAUGCCUUACACAUGCAAGUCGAACGGCAGCACGGGAGCAAUCCUGGUGGCGAGUGGCGAACGGGUGAGUAAUAUAUCGGAACGUGCCCAGUAGUGGGGGAUAACUGCUCGAAAGAGCAGCUAAUACCGCAUACGACCUGAGGGUGAAAGGGGGGGAUCGCAAGACCUCUCGCUAUUGGAGCGGCCGAUAUCAGAUUAGCUAGUUGGUGGGGUAAAGGCCUACCAAGGCAACGAUCUGUAGUUGGUCUGAGAGGACGGACAGCCACACUGGGACUGAGACACGGCCCAGCCUCCUACGGGAGGCAGCAGUGGGGAAUUUUGGACAAUGGGCGCAAGCCUGAUCCAGCAAUGCCGCGUGCAGGAAGAAGGCCUUCGGGUUGUAAACUGCUUUUGUCAGGGAAGAAAUCCUCUAGGUUAAUACCCUUGGGGGGAUGACGGUACCUGAAGAAUAAGCACCGGCUAACUACGUGCCAGCAGCCGCCGUAAAAC
rnacentral:rRNA from 1 species